GAUGAACGCUGGCGGCGUGCCUAAUACAUGCAAGUCGAGCGAAUGGAUUAAGAGCUUGCUCUUAUGAAGUUAGCGGCGGACGGGUGAGUAACACGUGGGUAACCUGCCCAUAAGACUGGGAUAACUCCGGGAAACCGGGGCUAAUACCGGAUAACACUUUGAACCGCAUGGUUCGAAAUGGAAAGGCGGCUUCGGCUGUCACUUAUGGAUGGACCCGCGUCGCAUUAGCUAGUUGGUGAGGUAACGGCUCACCAAGGCAACGAUGCGUAGCCGACCUGAGAGGGUGAUCGGCCACACUGGGACUGAGACACGGCCCAGACUCCUACGGGAGGCAGCAGUAGGGAAUCUUCCGCAAUGGACGAAAGUCUGACGGAGCAACGCCGCGUGAGUGAUGAAGGCUUUCGGGUCGUAAAACUCUGUUGUUAGGGAAGAACAAGUGCUAGUUGAAUAAGCUGACACCUUGACGGUACCUAACCAGAAAGCCACGGCUAACUACGUGCCAGCCGCCGCUGUAA
rnacentral:rRNA from 1 species